UACAGAGGUCUCAAGCGUUGUUCGGAUUCAUUGGGCGUAAAGGGUGCGUAGGUGGCGCCGUCAGUCGGGUGUGAAAUUUCGGAGCUUAACUCCGAAACUGCAUUCGAUACUGCGGUGCUUGAGGACUGGAGAGGAGACUGGAAUUCCUGGUGUAGCGGUGAAAUGCGUAGAUAUCAGGAGGAAUACCGGUGGCGAAAGCGACUCUCUGGACGGCAACUGACGCUGAGGCACGAAAGCGUGGGGAGCAAACAGG
rnacentral:rRNA from 1 species